GUGCUCACUUCAACAGCACACAUACUAAAAUUGGAAUUACACAGAGAAGAUUAGCAUGACCCUGCACAAGGAUGAAGAGUAGGUUUUAAAUUUUU
ensembl:snRNA U6 U6 spliceosomal RNA